GAGCUUUCCUGUCAACUUGGCAAAUAUCUUGCUAUGUCAACCUUGAAGCCAUGUGACAUCAUAUGCAUAAUGUCGUGAUUUACAACAUGUCUAAAUGCCACACCUAGACAGGCGAAUUAGUUAUAUUGAGCAGUCUCAGUUAUCUACUAGGUCACGUGUCACUACAAAGAACCCAUAUCAAUCUUGAACGAAAGUGACUGGUAUAACUCUAAAAUUGAAGUCUUCUUCCGGCCACCGCGACAUCUUUAUAUGAUUUAAGAAAUUUUUAAUGGAAAAUCAAACAGCACACAAUCAAUCAACUAUAUAAAAUUUGACUCUAAAUAAGAAAUAAAAUUCAUUGUUUCGAAGAUCAAAACCAACAAGCAAUAGGAACUCUUCAGGCCUUUCCUGACUAGCGGAAAAAACGAUUUCGAAUGUAUUAAGUAGACAACAUUACACCCCUUUUUUCUCAAACUUUGCAAUAAAUAUAGGAGGACCUCUUAUCUAUGGAUUAUGGAGUUAAACUUUGUUAAAUGUAAAGAUAUCAACUAAAAUAUACUGUCAACUUGUGGCAAAAAGAAAAAAAUUAGAUCCUAGUAUCAAAUGUUUAAAAACCAGGAAGAUGUAUACAUUCCUAAGAUGCUUGUACAUUCGAAGUUGUUUUUCUGAGGUUUGACGGAAAUGCCCGAGAUGAUACGAUUGGACUCACUGUCAGACGUUGAAUAGUUCAAGGAAAGAAGAAAAACACUAUCAUUGAUUCACUAUAGAAAACAAUACUAUAGUGAGAGCUUCUUGAAUUGGGAGGUCUACAAAGAAAGUAAGUAUUACUUCGACAAUACUUUUGUUUUAUUUGUUUACAGUAGACAAGAGUAGAAUGAACAAGGGAGAUAAUUUUACUUGAUUCUAGUACAAUCGAUUAUACCGAUAUACAUAUGAAUUUGUUGAUUUAAAUUUAUUUUAACCAUUUUUGUAAGUAAGCAUUUCUAAUCAGAUCAUUUUGAUUUAAUAAAAGAAGUUGUUAUAAUUUGCUCACACAAUAACAUUAUUCUGAGUAACAUGAACAAGGAAAUUAACAAACAAGGAAGUCCCCAAUUAGAGGUCACGUCAUUUUAUAUUACAUAAAUCUGUGUAUUAAAAGCAUUCAAUUCAACAGUAAUUUUUUUUUAUUUUAAAAAUGGUCCUUUGAAUUAACAUUGACUGACAAAUUUCAAAAAUACCCACAUGGUUUCUCAAAUUACUAAUUGUUUUCCCCAUUUCCGGCUGAUAUGAAGUUCCGGUCUGUUUAGGGAUCGUCUCGGAGCACACGUUUUAAGUACAGCAAAAAAAGUCAUUGUAAACAUGAACGUCCGCAUGUCCUUUCAGUUUUAUUCAAAAAACAAGUGAAUCAAAUUUUACAUUCAAAUAUAUGUGAACAUUUUUGAAAAAUCUUUUAAGAAACCACUGGAUUAGGAAAGCUGAAAGUUAUUUGGAAGCAUGCUCGAUAGUGCAGAUUUUCAAUUUCGAACCCUUGAACACCAGGAAUAAGCCAGAGCCAAAAUUGGAAAUCAAAGUUUUGCAUUGAAAAAUAUAGGGGAAAACCUUACACUUAUAUGGAUCACUCCUUGAGUAGUGUACUAGAUUCUAAAUUGUUCAAAUAAUGAACCUUGGGGAGGGACAGGGCCACAGUAAUUAAACCAAGUUUUACAUUGAAAUAUUUAGCUCAAGUCUUUGAAAGUCUUCUCAAAAACCACUGGGCCAAGAAAGCUGAAACUUAACCUGGGAAAUGUUAAUUCUUAAUACUGUAAAUCAUGUCCCCCGGGCGAAGGGUAGGUCUACAACAGGUAUUGAAAUGGGAAAACCUGAGAACAGCAUUGCCACUUACAAAGGUGCGCGUUGCGGCCCAUGGGCCUCUUGAUAAGAGUUUCAGUGGGGGAUGACAGGGGGUGGGUACGUAAUAAAAUCUUUCAUAAUGUUCUUAUCUUCAUGCCAUAUCUCAAAGAAACUCUAAAAAUGAUCUCAUCUCUUUAAAGAAGUAUCUUUACUCGGAUUUAUUAUAUUGAUGAACAAAAUAAAAAUUAAUGAUCUUGUUUGCAAUGCAAGUUUUAUUCCAUCCAAGAUAUCUUAUUAUACCCCAAACUUCAUUUAUUAAAAGCAUGGGGUAUUAUUUUCCAUUUUAUUGAUUGGUCCCAACAUGUUUAUUCCAUAGCAGAUUUAAAUAAAGUCCUUUGCUCGAACUGUGCAUUUUCUAAACAUUGAUAUUACAUGUAACUAAUUAUAAUUAUUAAAUUAUGGGUUCAUACCAAGAUCGAUCUCUUAAAAAUAAUAAAUAAAUAAUCCUAAUGAAGUUGCUGCAAACUCGGAAUUGCAAUUGAGAUAUAACUCACGUACUUAAUUAAAUCCCACAUCUAUAGUCUAUACUCAUAACAUUUCAUCAAAAGCCUGUACAAUAGCUGAUGAAUUUGUUACAUCUUGGGGAUUUUUAAAAUGAUAUAAAACUAGAGGUACUGUGAGCAAUGAAUAUAAUGGCAGGGUCCAUGUUUUGUUGUGAGACACCUAAAAUAAAAAACGGAGUAUGUGUCAGAUCAGAGAGUUAAAUAUUAGGUGCACAACGGCAAUAUAUGAUAAAUUUCUGUGAAUAUUAUCAAAUUUCAUUCAGUGGUAUGGGAGGAGUUGAGAAUAAAGGAUUAGUAUCCCAAAGCGUAACAGACAGACUGACAAACGUACGGACUGUCUUACAUACGGACGGACACACAUACUAUACAUACCCUCCCGCUUUUCACGCGGGGAAAUAGCAAAAACUUAGCUUUGUCUGAAACCUGAAUAGUUGCGUUAGUACAGCACCUGACUAGUGAAACACCACAAGGCUUAAUUUUAUUUUUUACAAAUAUGGUACAUUAUUUUGGUGCAAUUGGCCAUUCCUUGAAUUUCAGGUGAAAGCCUUGCUAGAGGAAAUACAAAGCAAAAAGAACAGAAAAAGGAAAUAUAUCAAAUAAAUAAUUCUAAGCUCCCCCUUUUUUUAAAACUAAUCUUUAUCAAAUUGCAUGUUUGGUAUGAUGAGUCACUGAAAUAAAUUUUAAACUUAAUUUAAACAAUAAUCAAAUUUGUUUGAAUUGGUUUUGUAAAUUUUGACAGCCUACCACAAAAUAUGAUGUCAAGGUUAUAGUGCAUUGUGAAGAUACCUUAUUACAUUCACCAUUAUGCACAGGUUUACAUUUUCUUUAUAUUUGAAGAAGAUAAAGAAAUACACUAGAAUCUUAAAAGCUCAGACUAAUUACAACAAUUAUAUUCAUAUAUCUAAAACAAAAAUUGUUUUGUUCUUAUAUAAGCCGUUUAUUUUACAAAAAAUAUAUUAAAUGCAUAUUUAGUUUAUUUUAAGUUUAUUUUGACAGAUUUCCAAGGAUGUGCUAUAUGACGUUGGUGUGAUAAGACUUCCGUGGAAAAAUUCAAAGUUUGUGAAAUUUGUUCCUAAACAUUUCAAGGAGACACAUACAAAUGCGUCAUAAAAUACUUAGACCCUUACUUUAGUCAAAAACCUAGAAAAGUUUGCUUUUUUCAAACUUAAGAAUCGCCAGUCGAAUAGGAUGAAUAAUUUUACCAAUAACCAUAACUCUGUACUGUGUUCAUUUAUUUAUUUUUUUUAUUUGUUUUGUUAAUUUUGACAGUUAUCACAGAAUGAGAUGUCAACUUUUUAGAAUGUGAAGAUAAUUACGAUCGUAAACAGAUUUCCAAAGAUGUGCUGUAUACGGUAACUGUAAAUGAAGAAAUUGCUUGUCCACAGGUGUUGUAUUUUAAAGUGUGGUUUCGGAAAGAAGAGGACAUCCCAAUUUUACAGGUGAAUUUAAGUUGAAGCUUUUCUGAGCCGAAGGCUAAUUGAAAUUUUUUGAUCGAAAUUUGUCCGAUGUCUGUCGUCGUUGUCAGGUUUUCUCAAUUUUAUCUUCUUUUCCAAAACCACAAGACCAACUACGAUCAAACAUGGCACAAAGUAUCCUUGAGUGAAGGAGAGUCAAGUUUAAUUGAA